rnacentral:rRNA from 1 species
UACGAAGGGGGCUAGCGUUGCUCGGAAUGACUGGGCGUAAAGGGCGCGUAGGCGGUUCGGACAGUCAGAUGUGAAAUUCCCGGGCUUAACCUGGGGACUGCAUUUGAUACGUCCGGGCUUGAGUGUGGAAGAGGGUCGUGGAAUUCCCAGUGUAGAGGUGAAAUUCGUAGAUAUUGGGAAGAACACCGGUGGCGAAGGCGGCGACCUGGUCCAUUACUGACGCUGAGGCGCGAAAGCGUGGGGAG